GAAAUGCGAUAAGUAAUGUGAAUUGCAGAAUUCAGUGAAUCAUCGAAUCUUUGAACGCACCUUGCGCUCCUCGGUAUUCCUUGGAGCAUGCCUGUUUGAGUAUCAUGAAAUCUUCAAAGUAAAUCUUUUGUUAACUCAAUUGGUUUCUACUUUGGUAUUGGAGGUCUUUGCAGCUUCACACCUGCUCCUCUUUGUUCAUUAGCUGGAUCUCAGUGUUAUGCUUGGUUCCACUCGGCGUGAUAAGUUAUCUAACGCUGAGGACACUGUAAAAGGUGGCCAAGGUAAAUGCAGAUGAACCGCUUCUAAUAGUCCAUUGACUUGGACAAUACUUUUAUGAUCUGAUCUCAAAUCAGGUAGGACUACCCGCUGAACUUAAGC
rnacentral:misc_RNA from 1 species